rnacentral:rRNA from 1 species
UAGGGAAUCUUUNNUNAAUGGGGGCAACCCUGACCGAGCAACGCCGCGUGAGUGAAGAAGGUUUUCGGAUCGUAAAGCUCUGUUGUAAGAGAAGAACGAGUGUGAGAGUGGAAAGUUCACACUGUGACGGUAUCUUACCAGAAAGGGACGGCUAACUACGUGCCAGCAGCCGCGGUAAUACGUAGGUCCCGAGCGUUGUCCGGAUUUAUUGGGCGUAAAGCGAGCGCAGGCGGUUAGAUAAGUCUGAAGUUAAAGGCUGUGGCUUAACCAUAGUACGCUUUGGAAACUGUUUAACUUGAGUGCAAGAGGGGAGAGUGGAAUUCCAUGUGUAGCGGUGAAAUGCGUAGAUAUAUGGAGGAGCACCGGUGGCGAAAGCGGCUCUCUGGCUUGUAACUGACGCUGAGGCUCGAAAGCGUGGGGAGCAAACAGGAUUAGAUACCUUGGUAGUCCACGCCGUAAACGAUGAGUGCUAAGUGUUGGUCUCAUAAGAGAUCAGUGCUGCAGCUAACGCAUUAAAGCACUCCGCCUGGGGAGUACGACCGCAAGGUUG